GACGGCCGUAAAGUAACCGGAGGAAGGUGGGGAUGACGUCAAAUCAUCAUGCCCCUUAUGACCUGGGCUACACACGUGCUACAAUGGGUCGGUACAAAGGGUCGCGAACCCGCGAGGGGGAGCCAAUCCCAAAAAGCCGCUCUCAGUUCGGAUUGCAGGCUGCAACUCGCCUGCAUGAAGCCGGAAUCGCUAGUAAUCGCGGAUCAGCAUGCCGCGGUGAAUACGUUCCCGGGCCUU
rnacentral:rRNA from 1 species